rnacentral:tRNA from 1 species
GGGCCUGUAGCUCAGUUGGUUAGAGCAGAGGACUCAUAAUCCUUUGGUCCACGGUUCGAGUCCGUGCAGGCCCA